GAAAUGGGCGACUGGACGCGAUGCUUCGAUCACGCUUGCAGUCGGACGCUGGGAUUUCGGGAGGAGAAACGGAUGCUGGAUGGAGCCGAUCACGGGAUGCUUGUAGACGCGGAUGAGGCGUUGGGAGAUCGCUGGGUCGUUGCGGCUUGCUGAUUUGGGAAGGAGCUGGGACGCGGAAGAAUGGCUGGAUCUCUUCUUUGGCCCACGGACGGAUGCGGGAUCCGUGAUGAACGCAGACGAGCGGAAGAAAUGGAUCACGGGCUAGAGUGAAAAGAUGGACGGCUGCGAUGGUACACAUCAUGCGGCUUGAUAGGGAACGUUGGGAACGUUGAUCACGAAAGAGGGCGUGGGAGCUGAUCUGGAAUGGAGCUGGGGUCUCCCGUGGUCGAUGGGAGGAACGCACGGACCGGCUGGACUAGGAUGCUUGGGCUCACGCGUGAUUCCACGGGUGAGAAACGUGGAGGCUGCAAUGAAAGGAUGUGGAGAGUUGGUGGAACUCCACUGUUAGCUCCCCUACUCUAUCUCUUCAAAUCGGGCUCAGUUCUGUGAUCCUUGGAUGACUUGCACACAAAUACAACGUUAAUUAGUAAAUUUUAUUAUUAAUGAUUAGCUAAAAUACUAAUUAAGAUGGUAUGAUGAUUGCACUUUUGUGCUCUCA
rnacentral:lncRNA from 1 species